rnacentral:rRNA from 1 species
GAUGAACGCUGGCGGCGUGCCUAAUACAUGCAAGUCGAGCGAACAGACGAGGAGCUUGCUCCUCUGACGUUAGCGGCGGACGGGUGAGUAACACGUGGAUAACCUACCUAUAAGACUGGUAUAACUUCGGGAAACCGGAGCUAAUACCGGAUAAUAUAUUGAACCGCAUGGUUCAAUAGUGAAAGACGGUUUUGCUGUCACUUAUAGAUGGAUCCGCGCCGCAUUAGCUAGUUGGUAAGGUAACGGCUUACCAAGGCAACGAUGCGUAGCCGACCUGAGAGGGUGAUCGGCCACACUGGAACUGAGGCACGGUCCAGACUCCUACGGGAGGCAGCAGUAGGGAAUCUUCCGCAAUGGGCGAAAGCCUGACGGAGCAACGCCGCGUGAGUGAUGAAGGUCUUCGGAUCGUAAAACUCUGUUAUUAGGGAAGAACAAAUGUGUAAGUAACUAUGCACGUCUUGACGGUACCUAAUCAGAAAGCCACGGCUAACUACGUG